GGCACAUGGGAAAUAUUAGUUCAGUGGUGUGGUCUGCCUUCAACUGACGCCACUUGGGAGACAGUAACACAUUUUAAAGAAGCUUAUCCACACUUUGAGCUUGAGGACACGCUCUUUCUCCAGGAGGGGAGUAAUGUUACAGAUGCUUUCAUUGGAAAGGCAUAUAAGAGACGCGAGGCACUGAAUAAGGAAAACAUCAAAGAUGGCAGCAAAUAAUUUUUCAAUGGUUUCCUGAUUAAGAUGUUUAUUUUUAGAAGUCUUUUAUUUCAAAUAAAAAAUCCUUGAUUAUAGGCUCCUUAAUUAUAGGUUCCUAUCUUGGAAAAUGCUGU
rnacentral:misc_RNA from 1 species